rnacentral:lncRNA from 1 species
UAUUUGCAAACGCUAUCCAACACUUGACAAAUAAAAGCCGAAAGCUUUAGUUUCUGGACUUGGUACUACAAAACCAUAGAUUGUCUUUAAUGGCUUGUAAAUGUACCUAAGCAGUCUCAUCCUCAUAAUCUUCUUAUUGAUAACGUAUCAUUAGAAGAAUAUGUUAGAUAAGUCUAUCAUAAGGAGGACAACACUUUUAAUGUCAUAAUUCUUCACUUACAAAUCGUUGUAUGAAGAAAUAAGAGUUGCUUUGAACAACCCUUAGUCAAUGCAAACACUUAGUGCUUGUUUCUUUGUUACAUAAACAAGGAACUUGAGAAGUAAGCACAAGGGCAUGGACACCUUAUGUGCCAUGAUUCUUCACUUACAAAUUGUUGUAUGAAGAAAUGAGAGUUGCCUUGUACAACUCUUGAAAGUUUGUAAUUAUGUUUAGAACAUAAUGGUUGGUUGACAAAAAUAGUCCAUCAACAUGGACUUAUGAUGAUUUUGAAUCAUUGAGUGUUGAAGUGUUAAACCACUUAACAAGACGGAAACUAGGCAAGGACUUCACCUUUAUGUCCCUAUCCUAAUGGUUCACUAAGUUUAUUGUAAACUAUGUAGUGAACAAUAACUGCACUCUCUCCAAAUUGUUUGAUGUGUAUAACACAAUUGAAAUAAGUUUCAAGAGAGAUAGUGGGAGUUUAGGGACCAUGACUAUUGUAGUCAAAAGAGAAGUUAAAUGAAGAAGAUAAUAUUAACUCCAAGGGAACAAACUUUCUUUAUGAAAGGAUGGACAUUGGAAGGGGUAUUUGCAAGAAAUGUCUUGCAAGUGUCAAGAACACACCUUUCGAAGGUGUUGUAAAUUGUUCUUGAAUAGUUCAAAACAGUUGGUUCUUCUACUUGAAUGCUUGAUUCCGUAUUAGUAACUAUGUUUUACAAUCGUUGUAAAAGUGUGACUAAUAAGAAGUAGAAGAUAUAUGAGAGAAGAAAAGGUGCUUCACAUUCGGAACGUGAAUAAAAUAUAGAUCUCUGCGAAGGCAGAUAGUACUUACUUCCUCAUAUGAACUACCAAAGAAAUUGGAAAAACCAAAGAUUGUCUUUACAUUCCAAUUUUAAGGAACUUAAUUCCGUCACUAUAGUAGAGAUGGAUGAAUGUUUUGUUUGACAAAACAUUGUUCUUUAUUAAUCAAUAAUUGGAUUAUAGUAAUCUAAUUGAUUGUCUCUAUAGUAGAGAUGAUAUGGUAGUGUUAACUGUUCAGAACAUAAUGAUGCUUAAAACCCAAAAGGUUGCAAGGUAGUGACUAAUCCCAACUAAGUUGUGAUACCUCUAAAAACAUAAAUUACGAGUUGGUCAUAGAUGGAUGCUUUGGAUCGUUAGAUCCGGAUCCAAUACCUUCUUGUUAAAAUUGUAUAGAGGCGAAAUGUUCGAAUCUUUAUUCUUUUGGAAAGAAGAAAGAAUCACAAAGUUGUUGAGGUUAAUUCACUUAGAUGUUAGUGGCACUUGCCCACAACAUAAUACUACUCAUGUUGGAUGACAUUCACCGAAGAUCACUCUCGGUUGGACUAUAGUUUAUUAUGAAUAAACACAAGUCCGAAUACUUUGCAAAAUGUUUCAAAGAAUUCAAGAAAUGUAAGUUGAUGAGUAAGACGUCUAAAGUAUUUACUCCUUAGAUUUGAUCCAAGAAAAAGUAACACUUUAGAUGAGUUUCCUUGAAAGAUAUCAAGGAAAAUAGCAUCAUAAGAUAAUGAAUUUCUCCAUUAGGAGAUGAACGAACUCGAAUAAGAUUUAGUUCAUUAGAUGUUAUCUAUAACCCAUAUAUAGGAUAUAUACUUCUAAGACAAUAUGAUUGUCAAUUAGAAGAUCUUCCAAAAUUUUCAUGACUCCAUAAGAUGUGGUUGGAAAGAAAGACAAAUCUUAAGCAUGUUAAGAUUUGAGGUUGUGUGCUAAUAAGCAAUAUUUGUUUGAUAACAAUCUUGUGGGAUAUCCUUAAAUUAACUUUUGGAUAUCACUUCUAUAAACCAACUAACAAAUGUUGUUUUGUUGGGUAGUUCAUUGUAAUCCUACAAUGUGAUUUGCCUAAGAGCAAAUGAACGAGAGAUAGAACUCAAAGAAUAGGUUCUUUAAGAGACAAGAAAGUAAUCAACAAAUAUAACAAUCUAGUUCCUAUACCAAAAGCUCCAAGGUAGUCGAGAAGGAUUUAUAAACCGUCUCAGUUGAAUGGUUUGAACUUUAUGACUAUGUCAUAGAGUUGUACCUCUUAAUUCGAAAGAAAUAAAAAUGAAAAUCCUUAUGACUACAUUGAGUGUAUAUAUGAUAUAUACUCAAGGAAAUGGUAAAGUACCAUUUGACCCGAAAUAAUGAAACCUUCAUAAGCUAAUUGGUAGAUUAAGGUGACUACAAUCAAAGAGAAUGGUUGACUUUGAAGAAACCAUCUUUGAGAUAGUCUUGGUUUCAAUUAAUUCGAAGAUUGCUAGCUACAACUAAAUGGUGAUUCAAUGUUUGGACAUUAUAUGGGUUUCAGAAACCAUUAUUAAGAUAGUCUUGAUAAUAUAUGUCUAAAACAAUAAAUCACAAGACAUGUAAGUUGUAGAGAUCCAUCCAUCAUGAAUCUUAACAAGCUAGUAGGAGCUAUAAGCAUCUUAUGAGAAAAGGAUCAAAUCGUUUGAUUUCUCAUAAAGAUGUAAAUGAAUCUUUUGUUUACUAGGUUUACAAAAGAUUAGUGGGAGUUAAUCAUGUUCCUAAAAUUUAAAUAUAUAUGAUUUAUUAAUUUUGGAAAUGAAAAGAAUACUUCUUCGUUAAAGUUAUGACUUUAAACAUUCUAUAACGAUAGAAUGUAUAUGGGAGUUAAUCAUGUUCCUAAAAUUUAAAUAUAUAUGAUAUAUUAAUUUUGGAAAUGAAAAGAAUACUUCUUCGUUAAAAUUAUGACUUUAAACAUUCUAUAACGAUAGAAUGUAUAUGGGAGGCAUAGUCUAUAUACAUGGGAUGGAAAUCUAUAUUGAUAGAUUUUAGGAUAUAAUUGGAUUAUAUCAAGCCCUAAAUAUAGACAAAAGAUGAUAAAAGUUUCUCAUAUGAUGAUGAACUUCAAUCAAAAGGAUAACUCUAGUGAGACUAAGAAGUUGCUCUUCUCAAAGAGAACGUACUCUUUGACUCCCAAAGAAAUAAAUGCGUAAAUAGAAUCCUUUAUGCAUAAGCAGAAAAGUGAUUUAUGUAUUUCAUAUUGUAUGAAAAACAUUGAUAUGAGUUGUAACUAGAAAGGUACAAGACGAUAUCAGUACAAGCCCAGGAUCAGAACCAUGGCAACUGUCAAGUGAGUCCUUAAGUAUUUAAGAAAUACUAAAGGAUAAAUUCUUCAAAGAUCGAGGAAGAAUUAGAGUAACGUAAUGGAAGCGUAAAUGUAUUAGAUUAUGAAUCUAAUCCAUCAUUGGAUGUUUCUUCAUUAUGAAUGAAGAGAUAAACAGAUAUCUCUUUAUUAUGACUAAAAAGAUAUUUGGCUGGAAACAUUAAAGUAAUGACUUUAGUGUGUUCCAUUAUGAAUGCAAAAUAUAUUGCCAUAGAGAAGUUUACAACAAUGUUGUUUGGAUGGGAAAGUUCAUUUAUGAACUCUCUAUUCGGUUCCAACCAGAAAGUGUUUGACACUAAUGGGGCGAUAGCUUAAGCCAGGGAAUCAAGGUCUCAUCACGAUCCGAACUCAAAUGAGAGACUGAACCACAUGAUUAAGAAUCAUGUAUAAUGGUGACGUCGUUAUUCUCAAGGUUGCUUCUAUGGAUAACGUAUAGAUAUCCAUUGUCUAGGCCUACUACUCAGCCAUUUAUGAAAUGACUACAGAAGAGGUAUCAUCACUGAUGACCAAGCUGAUUGGCUUUAGUGCAAGUGGGAGAUUGUUGGAAAUGUGCCCUAAAACCAAUCAUAUGAUGAUACUUUACGGACAUUUCACAAGUUAAACUAACGUAGUUUAAAUAUAAAGGGAAAAUAUUAUUGUUUGAGCCGUCUCAUAUAAAUGUUAUAUGCUUAAACGAUAAGUCCAAGGAAAAUGUGAUUGGGAGAAUGCAAUCUAAAGAAGUUAGUUCAUGAGACCAUUCUUUCGUAGACACAUCCUAAACGUUCCUGAUCAUAGGAUUGCCAAUUGGGCAUUGUCAGUCCGUUAAGAUCAUUACGUGUUGUGUCUUCUCUCAGGGAGAAUGACUAGUCUCGAGUCAUUGGUGUGUGUGACAUCAAGACAAGUACGUAGGUGCUCAAUAGAGAAUGAGUUCACUGAACACAAUCAACGAAGAGUUCUCAUAUUUAUGUCACAUGAGAACUCAUGGUUAGGAUAAUGCAAAGUAGUCAUUUGACCUGAGGCAUCAUAGUUGUCUUGUGGUUAAGUCCUUGAUCUUUGAUUAUGUCAAAGUCACUCCAUCAGGAGGGUGCCCAUGGCAUAGUUGGGGUUAAGCCACUUAGCUAUGGAGGCAAGUGAAUGCGCAACAAGGGAUCUCUAACCUUCAAAUGGUUUGGGGGAGAAUACUCUAUGAUAUGAUUGAAAAUCUCUGAUCAGAGUAUGAAUGAGAUUUAGGAAGGCGUU